UUAAAAUAAGUAAAUUUUAUGCUUAAGACAAUAUGUUUAUUUAUGCUUAUUUAUCUAUGUGUCAAAGGUUCUCGAUUCGUUAGAAAAUUUGAUUAAAAUGGGUAAAUCCUAGGCAAUAUUAGAAUAUGAUGUACUCAUGAGAUGGCAAAUCAAAAUUUUACAAGUUCAGAUGCAAAUGAAGAAAAUACAAAUGAACCUCUACCAGAAUUUAUUUGCUCGUGUUGUUCACUUAAACAACCUUAUGACUAUAAAGGAUGUAAUCCUCCAUUUGCAAAAAAUAUAGCUACAAUUGAUGAAUCCUAUAUAAUGAAAGAUCCUUUUAGUCCUGAGAACAAAAAUGAAAUUCUUAUAUUGGGAGCCGAUUGUAGUAUUUGUCAAGAAUCUGUAUGCGUAUCAACCACUUGCAGUAUAUUUUUCAUGAAAACUCUAUGCAAGAAAUGUGCAUUGAAACAGAAAAACAUGUACCCUGAACGAUUUAAACAAAUUAUUGAACAUGUUUUUAAAUAAAUGCUUAGGUAGUUGAAUAAAUGUUUGUAUUUAAAUUUAUAUUUAAAAUUAACUGUUUAAAUAUUGUGAAAAAGAAAAUAUAGAAAAUAAUUGAAUAAAAUGUGGGUUGAUA